UGGUCCCCCCAGCAGACAGGGGAUUGGGUGGGUCCCUGCCUGUCUAAGCUUCAAGAAGGCCCUCAACCUGUCCUCAGACUUCAGCCCUCACCAGCCAGCCACUCUGGUCUCUACCUACCUUCGGUGACACUGAGGAUUGUAUUUACAAGCCCUGCAGUUACUCAAUCGGCUGCCUUCACGGGCCCCCAAAGGAACCCCAGAUCAGGCUGGCCGGGACCAGGUGCUUCUCUCCGACGUCCAGAGUGAAUUCUAGGUGGCAGAGCCCGGGCGCCUUUGAUUGUACAUCUGCGGAGCUCACAAGGUCAAGCACCUGCUGUGUAUGAGGGACCAUGCUCGGCACAGAUGGCCCGGGGGAGGCUGCAGAAGAUGGGCUGCGUGCCCAUUGCGUAGACGGCAAAACGGAGGCCGGCUCGUCCGGACCAGGUCAGGGUCACCGGCCGGGAACGAGACCAAGCGGGCAUUGCGAACCUGGCCGCUGCGCUGGCCGCUAGGAGACUCCGAGCUUAAUUUAGGCUCCUUGUUAAAUUAUUCAUUCUCCCCUCUCUUCUCCUGUUUAUGACUUCCGCCUUAUCUUCCCUGGGUUAGUGCUUUUUGUUUAUCUGCAUCUUUGGCCCGGAAUGAAUGAAUCAACGAUUUUGAAGGGGAAAAAAAGCCCCGAGCUCCAGCACAGAUAUCAGUGUGCACACCCCGGGCACUCUUGCUUUCUCCCCUCUGCCUCCUUCCCCCGCUCUGUCCCCGGCAGGGCGGGGCCUGGACCCAGGGCCCUGCGCUUGCUAAGGCGCUCACACCAGGGCUGCCCUCAUCCACCCCUGGGCCCCAGGCCCCAAAUUCUGUAACUCGGGGAAAUAAACCUUGCACAUGCUUGACACGCAAGG